rnacentral:lncRNA from 1 species
AGAAAGCACCACAGAAGCAGUUCAUGUCUCACUAAGGCUAGACACUGAUGGAUCUAACGUCUCUCUUUGGAAUUUAUUGGCAUUUAACACCUAUUAUCAUCAACUCUGGAGUCCUCAGCUAAACUCUAAGAGAACAGGCAACUACAUAUUACCAAGUCUAGAAGCAUCCGUGUAUUAUAUCAGCCAUGAAUGAUCCAGUCUCUGACCAUUUAUAUCCUCCUGGGAAGAAAAGAAGUUCAGCCAUGAAGUCCUGAAGUUUGAAGGAAGAAAAUAAAUCACGUUUUCUUAGAAAUGACUUUUUAUAGGAGAAUAUGAAAGUAGGUAAAGCAAUGUGAUAUGCCAAGAGGCCCUCCAACAGUCCAGUAAGUGUGAAGAGAAAAAGAUAGCCUUAAAACACCAUCCACCCUGUUCAGGGAGCCACUGAAUGAAGACAGACACCAACUACAAAUUGCAAAAUCUCUCACCCCUCAUCAUCAACUACCUUUCUCUCUUUUGUAAGUUACUUUUCCUUGAUGACUCAGUUGUAGAUUUCAAGUAUGAGUACACUGGACAGA